rnacentral:tRNA from 1 species
GCCUUGGUGGCUCAGUCGGUUAAGCAUCCGACUUCAGCUCAGGUCAAGAUCUCAUGAUUUGUGGGUUCGAGCCCCACAUUGGGCU